AGAGAGAGACAUGCGCGCAUAUCAAUAAGCGGAGGAAAAGAAACUAACAAGGAUUCCCUUAGUAACGGCGAGUGAAGCGGGAAGAGCUCAAAUUUGAAAUCUUCAAGGCUUUUACCUUGACGAAUUGUAGUUUGAAAGAAGUGUUUUUCUGCUGAAGUUUUGGUAAAAGUUCUUUGGAAUAGGACAUUCAUAGAGGGUGAGAAUCCCGUAUUUGACCAUUAUUUUCAGCUUUGUGAUACACUUUCAAAGAGUCGGAUUGUUUGGGAAUGCAGUCCAAAAUGGGUGGUAAAUUUCAUCUAAAGCUAAAUAUUGGCGAGAGACCGAUAGCGAACAAGUACCGUGAGGGAAAGAUGAAAAGAACUUUGAAAAGAGAGUUAAACAGUACGUGAAAUUGUCAAAAGGGAAGCGUUUGACACCAGUGUUGUUUUUCUCGAAAAUCAAUUAAAAAUGGCUCGAUUUUGUAUUGCUUGAGACCUUAAAAGCUCACUGUACAUUUUUUCGUGUCUUUUUUUAAUGCACUUUUCGUUUAACAAGUCAACAUCAGUUUCUUUUGUUGUAAAAGGGUCAUUGGAAGGUGGCUUUCUUUUCGGAGAAAGUGUUUAUAGCCUUUGGCCUCUGCAAUCGGAGAGGACUGAGGUCUGCAGCGUAGACUCUUCGGGGUUAGAUACAUUUGUGCUAAGUUAUAGCUUUUUAUAGACAACUUGUUGACUAUAAUUAGUCUUGUAGCUUACUCGCUUAUGCUAUUUUACCUACGCUUAGGAUGUUGAGUCGUAGAGCACGCAG
rnacentral:rRNA from 1 species